CCUUCAAUACUACAGACACAAGGAUAGUUCCCGGUGAGUUUAAGUGACGGAAAAAUGGACAAAUUCCUGAGCCUGCUCAUCAUUUGGCUGCAACUAGACUGGGUGAGCAGUAAACAGGAGGUGAAUCAGAGUCCUGGAGCUCUGACUGUCCGAGAGAGAGACAGCUUGUUUCUCAACUGCAGUUACACCGAUAGUGCUAUUUACUUCCUUCAGUGGUUUAGGCAGGACCCUGGGAAAGGGCUCACACCUCUGCUGUUAAUUCAGUCCAAUCAGAGAGAGGAAACAACUGGAAGAAUGAAAGUCACGUUGGAUAAAACGUCAAGACACAGUGCUUUAUACAUUGCAACUUCUCAGCUUGGCGACUCGACCACCUACCUCUGUGCUGUGAGGCACAGUGCACAGUAA